GGACCAGAAAAAAGAAGACCGGUGUGUACUGUAUUUUAUACACAACAUGGAGAACAGCUGUCCAAAAACGAUAACACCAACUUAAAAUGAUUUCAGAAUGACUACCCAGUAGAUACAAUACCUCUGGACUCCCAUAAGACAGAUAACAUGACCUCCCCCAACAACUGUGGCCAACUUAAUCUACUCCCCAGUGUUCAUCAGUGGAUGAGCCACAACCCACAGGACUGUUCCAACACUUGCCCUUUCUGGCAUUCAGACUACAAAAGUUUUCAAAGAACUUCCAACUGACAACAAUGAGAUGCUGAACUCUGACGUCAACAAAAUGAACUUAAACAGCGAUACAACAGAGGUUUGCGUGUGGAUAAGUCCCAGGGACUCUGACGUCAGUUGACCGUGUGUCCAAUAUAUCCCAACUGCACACACUGCUCACAAUACUGAAAUUUCACCUCCAGCCCAGACUUCUUCCUUUGAGCCCCGACUCAUGACCAAUUGCCUACUCAACCUCUCUACUUAAGUGUGCAGCAGGCAUCUCAAACUUAACAUGAUCAAAACCAAACUCCUGCUCUUCUCCAACCGGUCCUCCUGCAGCCUUCAGCAGCUCAAUUUCAUGACGACUCCAUCCUUCCAGGUGCUCAGGCUGAACCCAGAGGCAAUGCUGCCUGUCUCUUCCUCUCAAGUUCCACAGCCUAAUAUCCAAAAUGCCCAACUCUACCUUCAAAUAAGCUCUUCCCUGAAUCCAACUCCACACCACCGCCACUCCCACCAUCCUGCUGGUCAAAGCCACUUUCACCUCUUGCCUGAACCACCAUGGAAUCUCCUGCCGGUCUCCCUGCUUCUGCCCAUGGCGCUCUUCAGUCUAUUCUCAAUACAGCAGCCAGAAUAAUCUUACUAAA